rnacentral:lncRNA from 13 species
CCCCAGCCCCGCCUCACUGGGCCCCGCCUCUCUGGGCCCCGCCUCUCUGGGCCCCGCCUCUCUGAGCCCCGCCUCACUGGACCCCGCCUCACUGGGCCCCGCCUCUCUGGACUCCGCCUCCCUGGGCCCCGCCUCUCUGGGCCCCGCCUCACUGGCCCCGCCUCUCUGGACUCCGCCUCACUGGGCCCCGCCUCACUGGACCCCGCCUCUCUGGACUCCACCUCACUGGGCCCCGCCUCUCUGGGCCCCGCCUCACUGGGCCCCGCCUCUCUGGGCCCAGCCUCUCUGGACUCCGCCUCACUGGGCCCCGCCUCUCUGGGCCCAGCCUCACUGGGCCCCGCCUCUCUGGACUCCACCUCACUGGGCCCCGUCUCUCUGGGCCCCGCCUCACUGGGCCCAGACCAUGCGGGAGCGGCCUCUCGAAGCUGACUGCGUCCAGUUGCUUUUCCAAUCACCGACUUGGCUUCUAUUUGAUCACCAGUGGGUCCAUCCUCCUUGCUGAGCCCCAGCUUCCUGAUCUGGGAUACAGGAGAUCACUGGUGUGCAACUCAUUGGUCACUGAGGACUCAGCCUAGAUGCAGACGUGCUUGGUGCCCCUGGGAGCAGCAAGGCCUCAGUCCCAGCACUCUCCCUCUGUCCUGAACUCCUGGAGCACCUACCACCUGGGAUCCUGGUGUGGCCCCUCAGAUGUGGCCUCCUGGUGAGAGCUGUGUGCUCCUCUCUGUUCCAGGCUGGCCCCUGUCCUCAGACAACCAAGGGAGCUUCCAGCACAAGUUGCGUGUGACAUCGAGGUUUCCCAGUACCACGCUGUGGAAAGUAAAAAGACCAGGUGCAGGUAUUUUUAACGGAACAACCCAAAAGAUUAGUUUCAACCUAGAAUCAACAUCAAGAAUUCUCAGCGAUAGGGCCACAUUCUUUUCCUUUUACUAAGUCUUCA